UAAAUUUAGAGUUUGAUCCUGGCUCAGGACGAACGCUGGCGGCGUGCUUAACACAUGCAAGUCGAGCGAUGAAGCUUCCUUCGGGGAGUGGAUUAGCGGCGGACGGGUGAGUAACACGUGGGUAACCUGCCUCAAAGUGGGGGAUAGCCUUCCGAAAGGAAGAUUAAUACCGCAUAAUAUAAGAGAAUCGCAUGAUUUUCUUAUCAAAGAUUUAUUGCUUUGAGAUGGACCCGCGGCGCAUUAGCUAGUUGGUAAGGUAACGGCUUACCAAGGCAACGAUGCGUAGCCGACCUGAGAGGGUGAUCGGCCACAUUGGAACUGAGACACGGUCCAGACUCCUACGGGAGGCAGCAGUGGGGAAUAUUGCGCAAUGGGGGAAACCCUGACGCAGCAACGCCGCGUGGGUGAUGAAGGUCUUCGGAUUGUAAAGCCCUGUUUUCUAGGACGAUAAUGACGGUACUAGAGGAGGAAGCCACGGCUAACUACGUGCCAGCAGCCGCGGUAAUACGUAGGUGGCGAGCGUUGUCCGGAUUUACUGGGCGUAAAGGGUGCGUAGGCGGAUGUUUAAGUGGGAUGUGAAAUCCCCGGGCUUAACCUGGGGGCUGCAUUCCAAACUGGAUAUCUAGAGUGCAGGAGAGGAAAGCGGAAUUCCUAGUGUAGCGGUGAAAUGCGUAGAGAUUAGGAAGAACACCAGUGGCGAAGGCGGCUUUCUGGACUGUAACUGACGCUGAGGCACGAAAGCGUGGGUAGCAAACAGGAUUAGAUACCCUGGUAGUCCACGCCGUAAACGAUGGAUACUAGGUGUAGGGGGUAUCAACUCCCCCUGUGCCGCAGUUAACACAAUAAGUAUCCCGCCUGGGGAGUACGGUCGCAAGAUUAAAACUCAAAGGAAUUGACGGGGGCCCGCACAAGCAGCGGAGCAUGUGGUUUAAUUCGAAGCAACGCGAAGAACCUUACCUGGACUUGACAUCCCUUGCAUAGCCUAGAGAUAGGUGAAGCCCUUCGGGGCAAGGAGACAGGUGGUGCAUGGUUGUCGUCAGCUCGUGUCGUGAGAUGUUAGGUUAAGUCCUGCAACGAGCGCAACCCUUGUUAUUAGUUGCUACCAUUAAGUUGAGCACUCUAAUGAGACUGCCUGGGUAACCAGGAGGAAGGUGGGGAUGACGUCAAAUCAUCAUGCCCCUUAUGUCCAGGGCUACACACGUGCUACAAUGGUAGGUACAAUAAGACGCAAGACCGUGAGGUGGAGCAAAACUUAUAAAACCUAUCUCAGUUCGGAUUGUAGGCUGCAACUCGCCUACAUGAAGCUGGAGUUGCUAGUAAUCGCGAAUCAGAAUGUCGCGGUGAAUACGUUCCCGGGCCUUGUACACACCGCCCGUCACACCAUGAGAGCUGGUAACACCCGAAGUCCGUGAGGUAACCGUAAGGAGCCAGCGGCCGAAGGUGGGAUUAGUGAUUGGGGUGAAGUCGUAACAAGGUAGCCGUAGGAGAACCUGCGGCUGGAUCACCUCCUUU
rfam:Clostridium botulinum A str. ATCC 3502 complete genome